UGAAGGAGGGGUUUUCAAAUGUACUUAAGGAGGCAGCCAGCCAUUCUGACCAUUCUGCCUUUCUGUCUCAUGGGAGAAGAGAGAGAGGGGGCCAGAGGAACUUUACUUUGCCUUGCCUGCCUUCUGCCUGGAGUGGAUUCUCUGCUUUUUGUGCCUGCUUUCCUGAUUGAGGAAAAGAGAAGAGAAUUUUUUCCCACUCCCUUCCUGCUGCUGAGAGAAUCACUACCUGCACCUGCUGUCUGGGUGAACUGAUUUGGGUACAAAAUUAUUUGUACCCAAAUCUACCUGUUUCAGGAGAUUUGUGGACAAAACAAAUCACCCCUGUGCUAGUUGGCCAAAUUCAGACUCAAAACAAAUCGGGGGUGAUUCAAUUCAGAAUCCCUGUAAUAGGUUGAAAGGGAUAGCUAGUCGAAAGCCACUUACAAUGAUGGGCAAUCUCUCCUUGGCUCGAUUAUAGUUGGCUUGGUUCAGCAACCCAGAAGGACAUUUGAAUUUCCCUGUGUAACUAAAGGGUUAAAAUAACAUCUGGACAUGCACCAACACAACAGAACCCUAUGGAGUUUGUCUCUGCUUAGCCAUGAAGACUCCACAGAUGCCAUUAAUCUCAAUUUAAUUACAAAAAUGAAUUCCCAUCACACCAACUAAAAUUGGAAUUUAUAAUUUGCAACUGGUGACACUGUCUUUUGCAGAAGAGCUUCAGGAGAGCUAUUAUAAUACUGUCACAUGAAAAAAUCAACGCAACAUAAUUUCAUUUGGCAACAAGGAAUUUACAUCAGCUACUCUUGAUGCAAAAGGAAUUCAAUAAUGGAAAAUAUGUAGUCGUAUUUUUGCAUUUAUUUAUAGGCUCUUUUAAUUUCAAAACAAAUUUCAGUGUAGCAUACAUAAUUCUGUCUGGUUUUAGGGGUUUUCAUUAAACUAUAAGUGAAUUGCCCUUCUGGCUGAAAAUCUGUUUUGCUUUGCGUUCCCUUCCCUCCCACUUACAAUAUUCCAUCUUAAAUUCCACAAGGAUUCUAUAGAUCUUAUUUAAGCAGGGCCAAGCAGCACAAAGCGCAUCUGCCCUGGAGAAGUUUGCCUCUCUUAACAUGCAGCCCAUCGCUAAUGCCCCUUUUUCAUUUAGGUUUUCAAUUUGGAUGUAUUCCAAAUUACCUUUUAUUCCAAUAGAAACACUACUAAUUACACAAAGCAUCUUAAUAAAGAAUGGAAACAAGAUUUAAAAAACCUCCUCCUUCUGGUGUUCUAAUGUGAAGUGGUUUUAAAUGGCACAAAAGGAGGACCUGCCAUAUCCAUAGCUUUACUUAGGCCCCUUGAAAAAAUACUCGGCAUUCUUUUUCCUUAUGCAGAGAGAAUUCUUCAGAAUAGGGAGGUAAAAUACAAUUUAUUUGGGCUGUGCAUGGCUCCAAAUGUCAGGUUCCAAUAUGGCCUAACCGAACAGGGAGCCUGUCUGGGAGAGCUGGCAUGGCCCCUCCCACCUUUCAUUUUGUCUGUGUCAGGGCCGGGGUG